GAGGGUAUAGCUCAAGUGGUAGAGCGCAUGCUUAGCAUGCAUGAGGUCCUGGGUUCAAUCCCCAGUACCUACU
rnacentral:tRNA from 1 species